rnacentral:misc_RNA from 1 species
GAACGCACCUUGCGCUCCUUGGUAUUCCGAGGAGCAUGCCUGUUUGAGUGUCAUUUAACUUCUCAACCACACUUGAUUUGUGUGGCUUUGGAUAUGGGGGUUUCUGCGGGCUUUCUUGUGUGAAAGAAGGUCGGCUCCCCUGAAAUGCAUUAGUGGUAUCUGAGCUACUACUAGAGGUGUGAUAAUUAUCUAUGCCUUUGGUAUGCUGCAUUGAACAGAUUGCACUGCUUCCAACCCAGACCUAUAUUUGAUAAAUUUGACCUCAAAUCAGGUAGGACUACCCGCUGAACUUAAG